AAUCUACUUGCUUUUUAUACUCUGUGACCCAACAGCAAUAUGCCUGGCAUAGAAUAGAGUGAGUGGCACUGCAUAAAGCAGCCAUUACAAUUGUGUCCCUGCAUGUUCUCUUGAUCCUGAAGUCCCCAAAUUACGACUCAUCCAUAUUUCCAGAUGUGAGACUCCAUCCAUUCUGAACACUCAGGCUGAGAAACUCAAACCAAGAAAUACUCAGGGUACCAAAUCUGGUAUAGGAUUGCAGGACAUUGAAUUAUUUUCCCACAAGGAUAGUCAAAGAUCUGCUGUAUGGUGAUCUGAAAUUGAGAAGCUGAACGCAAGGAGGGCAGAGGAAAUGUUUUAAGGACACUGUAAAAUAAAGCUUCAGACAAAACUGUAACACAAUUUAAAAUUGCAAGCUAGUUGUUGAGCAAAGAUCAGCGUGGCAUACUGUAAUCCAGAAAAGUGGCUCUGAAUAAGCUGAAGCUUAUUAAGAAUCAAGAAAACGGUGGCAAGGUGACAGAAGUGAAAACAGUGCUAGGUCUACAGAUAGGCAACAUGACAACUCAAUAAAGGACAUCCUUUUUGUGCA